UACCCGGCCUGCCACAACCUUCUAUAGUGUGUAAGACUUGCAGGGUAGAGAGUAGAGCCAGUGCUGGAGACGGAGGAGGAAUUUGAACAACCAUGAAAGGUUUGUGGCAUUACAAAAGCAUGAUACUUAAGAAAUAUAGAUAUCUCAUCCAUAAGAUAGACCCAUAACUUAAAGGUAAACUAGAGGAGGUCAUUAUUGUGAAAACUGGCAAUUGUGUAGCAUCAUAAUUGCCAUCAUCAUUUAAAUUACCAAAUAAGCAGGUGAGGUGGUGGAGACCUUGCCAACAGAAAAACCACAUAGGGCAAGCUGACUAAGAGUAGAUUUCUGGGUGGGUGUGCAUGACUUUUGUGGCCAUUCUCUGCAUUACUCAGAAGACUAGCUGAGGAAGAGGAGUGUCAGGGAACAGCUGUGAAGAAUCUUUGUAAGGUCAUCCACAAGGGGGCAGCAGGAGAGGCUAAAAGGCACACACAAAUGGUUAGGUAUUGAGGGAAGAGUAGAUUCAUGUGUCCAGCACCUCUCAUGACUCAGGGCACGGACCAUUGGAGUGGCAGCUGUGAUUAGGAGAGAGCAAUAUAACUGUAGUGUCAGGAGGAGUCUUAUAAGAUCCUCUGUGUGUAGUGGUUAGGUAUUGACGGAAGAGUAGAUUCAUGUGUCCAGCACCUCUCAUGACUCAGGGCACGGACCAUUGGAGUGGCGGCUGUGAUUAGGAGAGAGCAAUGCAGCUGUAGUGUCAGAAGGAGUAUUAUAAGAUCCUCUGUGUGUAGUGGUUACAUAUUACAGAAGAAUUAUACCAGAAAAUGAUAAAACAUGAGGGUAGGGCAUGUCUAUUUAUUUAUUUAUCUUUUUAUAUAUAUAUUUUUAGGCAAUAAAUAUGUUUUUGUAAAUUUUGUGCUAACCUUGUGAUGAGAAUGUGAUGCAGUUUUGUGGCAUGAGCAAGAAAUGCUUUGUGCUGUGCAGUGGCAAUGUUGUAAGUUUGUAAGCAGUGAGGCUGGUGUGUGUCCGAGGGCUGCCUGAAGCUCACCACUGUUGGGGACUCGCUGCUCCUCCAGGGCUUCCGUAUACUUUCCUUAUUCUGACCAGGUCCAGCCUUGCCUUCAUGAGC